rnacentral:tRNA from 1 species
GCCUUUUUGGCUCAGUGGGUAGAGUGUCCGUCUGAGGACUGAAGGGUCUCGGGUUCAAUUCCGGUCAAGGGCA